rfam:Tupaia chinensis contig16170, whole genome shotgun sequence.
GCGCUCGCUUGGGCAGCGCACAUACUAAAAUUGGAACGACACAGAGAUCAGCAUGGCCCCUGCGCGAGGGUGACACGCACGUUCACAAAGCGUUCCAUAUAUCU